CCAAAUCCCGGCGGGCGCGGGCGCGUUUUCCUCAAAGCUCAUUGCCACCGUCCGUGGUCCUCAGUGCUUGCGGGGUGGAGCCACUGUCUAGCUCUAACAGAAGCGAAAGGUGCCAGAGGAGCCUGUCCGUGGAUGUCCUCGCUCCUUCAUCUUCAAGAGCCCCGCACACGCUGCAAAGAGGAAACGACAGGCACGGAGCGGCCGGGGGGGUGGUUCACCCCGAGCUCCGGGUUCCUCCAGUCCCGGGACUGUGCGGCGGUGAAGACUUGGCCACUCCGCCCCCUCUCGGCGUUGACGCUGCUUCCGCGCUGCUGGACCGCCGAGGUGGCUGCCUAGUUAGGACAAGAGUCGCCCGCUGGAGCGUAGCGGUUCGGAGCGUGACUUGAGUGUUGCAGGCAAGAUCCUUUAGUAGCAGAUGGAGUAUCUGACUCAGGGCUUGAGUUGUUUUUCCAGGAGCAGAGAAUCAGUGUGAUGUCAGAUGAGCAUGAACUUGGAACCUAAAGGAAAGAAGAGAGGAUGAACAGCAAGUCGGUGGUAAGGAUUGAAUAUUUUUGGAGAAGAUGGGCUAAAACCACUUCAAAGAGUUUUACAUUUGGCAAGAAGGAGACCGAGGAAGUAAGCCCUUUGCCACUUGCUUCCUGAGAGCCAGCACCCUCCUUCCAAACUCAAGAGAAUGCAAUUCAGCAUGCUCUGGGGGCCUUUGAGUCAUCUCCGUCUGUGAAUCAACCUCCAGCCUCUAUUCUGAACAGAGAGAUCUCAUCCUCCUCCAGUUUCUGGAACUGGAAGCUGGUGUUUUUCCUUUGGAUUUUGUUUAAUGAGUGUCUUCCACCUCUAAGCAUGUCAAGUUGUCCUCCCAGUUGCAGACUGGGGACUGGAGGUAAGCAUCUAACCUAAGACCCUGAAGGGAAACACUGAAAACUACCUCUUGCAUUCAGUGGGGGCUUCCCAGCCAUGUCUCCUCACAACAGAAACUUCCUGCAUCUCUCCACACUGCCUGGGAGGUGAGCACAUACACAGAUAGCUUUCUGGACAGAUGCCCUAGGCAGCUGAGAGGAUGCUGAUGACCAUCUGAAUCCCAGAAGCAUGGAAGUUACCAUGGCUACCAAAAAUUGAAACCAUUGGCUGCUUGGCUAUGGGGACCAACUCAGCUGACCUCUCAAGGUCCCUUCCAGCCCUGGGAUUCUACAAUUACCCCGAACCAGCUGAGACCAAGUCUGCUGCAAGACAAGAGGAAGUCCUGUGACAUUAAGGCUUGGGCACAGAAAGCAAACGAUUUCAUCAGAAGCACCUUAGAGGUCACCUUGUCUUACUCAUCAGAAGUAUUAAGUCACAAUCUUUACCUCUGCUGCAUUAAUAAUAAGCAAAAGCUUUUUUUAGUUUAACAUUUUAUAUCUUUUACAAAACAAGUUUGCUACCACUUUUUAUUUCUCUUCCUUUUAUAGCUCUGGUCAGAAAUUUUGAUAAGAGGUUUACUCCACAUUGUGACCUGCAAAACAGCCCAGAAAAACUUGCAUCACUAUGGCCGAGUGGGGUGUGCUCCACCAGACAGGACGUGUAUGUCAUGAGCCUUCUAAGAAUCAGGAGGAAGGAAGUCAUUCAUACAGGAGGCAGAUGCUGAACUGCAACUCCGGUUUCCUCUUACAAGUCCUUGGACUGUAGGAAUGUUACUCCACAAAGGGAACAGGUUUCUCUACAACUUGACCAUCGAAAGCUCCCUACCUUUUCAAGUUGAGACAGAGCUGGGAAGAGGCUAAUGCAAUACCUACCUUCUCCCCACUACUGGUGGAGGGGGAUCCCAGCCU